UACGUAGGGGGGCAAGCGUUGUCCGGAAUCAUUGGGCGUAAAGCGCGUGUAGGCGGCUUUGCAAGUCGGGUGUGAAAUCUCGGAGCUUAACUCCGAAACUGCAUUCGAUACUGCCGUGCUUGAGGACUGGAGAGGAGACUGGAAUUUACGGUGUAGCGGUGAAAUGCGUAGAUAUCGUAAGGAAGACCAGUGGCGAAGGCGGGUCUCUGGACAGUUCCUGACGCUGAGGCACGAAGGUCAGGGGAGCAAACGGG
rnacentral:rRNA from 1 species